AUUGAACGCUGGCGGCAUGCCUUACACAUGCAAGUCGAACGGCAGCGGGCCUUCGGGUGCCGGCGAGUGGCGAACGGGUGAGUAAUGCAUCGGAACGUGCCAUUGAGUGGGGGAUAACGUAGCGAAAGUUACGCUAAUACCGCAUAUUCUGUGAGCAGGAAAGCAGGGGACCGCAAGGCCUUGCGCUCUUUGAGCGGCCGAUGUCAGAUUAGCUAGUUGGUGAGGUAAAGGCUUACCAAGGCGACGAUCUGUAGCGGGUCUGAGAGGAUGAUCCGCCACACUGGAACUGAGACACGGUCCAGACUCCUACGGGAGGCAGCAGUGGGGAAUUUUUGGACAAUGGGCGCAAGCCUGAUCCAGCCAUGCCGCGUGAGUGAAGAAG
rnacentral:rRNA from 1 species